AUGCCGCUCUCUAGUCUGCUCUGGGUGUUCCUGGCCUUCACCUUCUCUGGAUCUUGUGUGGCCCAGAAAGUUACUCAAGAACAGUCAGACAUAAUCAGGCAAGUGGGGCAGUCAGUCAUUUUUGACUGUCAGUAUGGAAUAGGUUGGUUCACCUACUACUACUCCAUUUAUUGGUAUAAGCAGCUUCCCAGGGGACAGAUGACUCUCCUUAUUCAUCAACAUUCAGAACACGGGAAUGCAGCGAAUGGCCGCUACUCUGUAAACUUCCAGAAAGCAUAUAAAUCCAUCAGCCUCACCAUUUCAGCCUUACAGCUGGAAGACUCUGCAAAGUACUUCUGUGCUCUAAGGGAGCUCUCAAGUACACGUACAAAAAGAGACUAUCACAACGCUUGA